UGGGGCUCUCCAAAAUGCGCGCCUGGGAGAGAUCAUAUCAUUGGAUGCCGCGAUCGACGUCACUUUAGCUGCUCAUCCAGCCAUUGGAUUGAAGGUAAUUUUAUUGUUAACAUAUUUUCUUAAAUAUAAAAAAGCUUCCCUGAAGAUGCAAGAAUGAAUCGUGUUCAUUUAUCUCAAGAAAGCAAAAGCCAUGGCUCUGGAUACAGUACUGUAGGACAAGAGAUUUUCAUUGCAUGCAAUGGUUUUUUUUUAAAGAGUUUACUUCUACUGGGAAUGUAUAACUCUGCCAGAACACCAACAUGCUGUAAAAGGUACAGUAAUCAGUGAUGUUGUUAACACAUUUUCCAUAUUUCUAAUAACAGCAUGAUUGAGCAACUAGAAGAUCUAGCAGAUGGGAACAGAAGGAAUUUUGCACCCCUAUGUUGAACUGUAAAUUAAUAUUUCACACAUUAAACACAUUUCGCAUUAAAAUAACUCGUUUCCUGUGUCUAGGGAAUCCUUAUUGCAGGUAACGAAGAGCAGAAACUAAAGUACCUGCCCAAGCUCUCCUCCGGGGAGGAUGUUGCUGCCUUCUGUCUCACUGAGCCCGCAAGGUAGAGCCUGAUCCCUUCUUUCAGUGUCACCUGAAUGAAAGGGAUUGAGAGAAAUAUAUCCAUGCAAGUUCUCCGUGACAUUAGCUUUCCUCCUGGGGAAAUAUUAAUGCUCUAACAACUUCUGUGUGAUCCCAAAAUAGUAGCGUAGGUUUCUGACGUAUGUUAAAUACGGGAAUGGACCAAAGAAAAAACACCUAUACCAUUCCAGUUACAGUUAUAUAGUGCCCUUCACUUACAUAGGCAUCCCAGGACACAAAAGUAGUUCCUACAGAACUAGAUCUGUUAUGACUGCUGCUGUCCUAAGAAAAGCAGCAAGAAACAAAGUAGAACUUUUAUUAUGGACUGGACUGUCUCCCACACAUUAAAAUAAAAUCCUUAACACAUUCUGUAAUAUAACUGCAGCUCUGUUACACUUCCAGUUGUGAUCACAUGACAGCUGAUAGCAGGUGCCCAGUGAGCAGAUGCUUCUCUGUCUAAUGCUUCACACGGAGCUGUCUAGAAAAUUGUCAAUUUGAGUCCUUCUGGAGAACAGAUUCUGGUGCAGAUUUCCCCUCCAACUUCUCUGAAGAAACUACUGGUGGCCACUGAAGAACCUUUUGACAGCGUUAUGGCAGGUGCUUUCCAGCUUUUCUUUGUACUCCAACCAGUGAAGAAUAAAAACAAUCCAAGGCUGGGUAAAACUGAAAGUUUCUCAGGCAAUAUGUAAACUACUGACCUUGAGUAACAAAUGUUACAAUACAGUAUGCAAUCAAAUGCACUUGUUAUACUCGGAUAAUACUGUGGGUUAAAUGCUUUAGGUCAGUUGUAUUGAACUAUGGCCCUCAACUACAUUUGUAUCCAUAUUGCAUAUAUAGGGUUGUUUUUUCAGUAUGGUGUGUUGAUAAAAUCUGCAUUUUUCUUCUUUAUUUUAGUAUUAUAAUAAAGACUUGUAGUUCUACAGUGGCAUCUAGACCAGAGCAACUCCAAGCAAAGAUGGGAAGCACUUUUUACUCAACAUCUCAAAAGCCUAUGAAGUUCAUUUUGAAAAUACUCCUGUGCCGAUAGAAAAUGUAAUUGGAGAAGUAAGAGGUGGAUUUAAGGUUGCCAUGAAUAUCCUCAACAGUGGCAGGUUUAGUAUGGGCAGUGCGUCUGCAGGAAUGAUUAAGAAGCUCAUAGGUCCCGAUUACAAAUGCUUUCUGCGCUGAAGCCUAUUUCCAGAACAACUACCUCAUGGCUCAGCUGGAAAAGAAUUCCCCUAAAAACAAUGAUGAUGGCAUAAAGAAGAUUGCCAUGCAGGUGCUGGAAAAGCGGGCUUAUGCGUGUUCUCAUCCACUUAACAGAACUUUAUGAAGAUCCUGUUCAUAGGGUGAAGGAGAAAAAUCUGCAUGGGUAAAAACAUGUUACUGUUUUAUUUGC